rnacentral:rRNA from 1 species
CGCGUAGGCGGUUUGUUAAGUCGGAUGUGAAAGCCCGGGCUCAACCUGGGAACUGCAUUCGAUACUGGCCGACUAGAGUACGAGAGAGGGAGGUAGAAUUCCACGUGUAGCGGUGAAAUGCGUAGAUAUGUGGAGGAAUACCGGUGGCGAAGGCGGCCUCCUGGCUCGAUACUGACGCUGAGGUGCGAAAGCGUGGGGAGCAAACA